rnacentral:misc_RNA from 1 species
GAAAUGCGAUAAGUAAUAUGAAUUGCAGAAUUCAGUGAAUCAUCGAAUCUUUGAACGCACAUUGCGCCCGCCAGUAUUCUGGCGGGCAUGCCUGUUCGAGCGUCAUUACAACCCUCAGGCCCCCGGGCCUGGCGUUGGGGAUCGGCGGAAGCCCCCUGCGGGCACAACGCCGUCCCCCAAAUACAGUGGCGGUCCCGCCGCAGCUUCCAUUGCGUAGUAGCUAACACCUCGCAACUGGAGAGCGGCGCGGCCACGCCGUAAAACACCCAACUUCUGAAUGUUGACCUCGAAUCAGGUAGGAAUACCCGCUGAACUUAAGC